rfam:Verticillium albo-atrum VaMs.102 supercont1.5 genomic scaffold, whole genome shotgun sequence.
GGGCGAUUGGUUUAGUGGUAUAACGUCUGCUUAGCAUCGAAACGAGUAAUCGUGAGAUCCUGUCUGCUGAAGGUCGCGCGUUCGAUUCGCGCAUUGUCCA